rnacentral:rRNA from 1 species
GACGAACGCUGGCGGCGUGCUUAACACAUGCAAGUCGAACGGGUGUAGCAAUACAUCAGUGGCAGACGGGUGAGUAACACGUGGGAACCUUCCUAGGGGUACGGAACAACUCAGGGAAACUUGAGCUAAUACCGUAUACGUCCGUGAGGAGAAAGAUUUAUCGCCCUUAGACGGGCCCGCGUCGGAUUAGCUAGUUGGUGGGGUAACGGCCUACCAAGGCGACGAUCCGUAGCUGAUCUUAGAGGAUGAUCAGCCACACUGGGACUGAGACACGGCCCAGACUCCUACGGGAGGCAGCAGUGGGGAAUCUUGGACAAUGGGCGCAAGCCUGAUCCAGCCAUGCCGCGUGAGUGAAGAAGGUCUUCGGAUUGUAAAGCUCUUUUGCCAGGGACGAUAAUGACGGUACCUGGAGAAUAAGCCCCGGCAAACUUCGUGCCAGCAGCCGCCGUAA